GAGCGGCGGAGAUGGCCGACCUGCGUGGUGCCCGCCGCGCCGCACCAUUGAUCUGCCCCGUCGGCGGCGACGGCGCUCUCGUGCCGUCGGCGGCGGCGCGGCACGUGCCAGACGGGGGUGGCGCGCCGGCCGACCGACCGCUCCGCUCUCCCCCGGCCGCGCCUUUGUCGACGGCCACCGGCGCGCCUCAUUAGGCAGCACAAACAGAAACACUUGUCUGGCCGCUAUCUGCCGUUGCCAUGACGACGCCAGGUGUGCCACUGGAGACCGCCGCCGCCGCACAGGGGUUUUAGCCAGCGCCGACCGGGGACAAAGGAAACGGCGUGGAGAGCAGAGCGGAAAUUGGACUAUUCGCAGAGCUGAGUGGAGAGAGCGCCGCCAAGAGGCUGUCAGAGAGGGGAGAAGAGGCCUACAUCCGCCACCGUCCAGAAUAAAUCAACGAAUAUGUCCAAGCGGAAGAGGUUGUCGCGGCACCCGCCGAUGCGCCGGCCGGUUGGUCCGCCGCUCCGGGAGGUGACGGCUGACACGGCAGUGACCGCGCUGAAGGAGGUGACACCCGACGCGGCAGUGACAGGGGUGACACCGCUGAAGACGGUAGUGCUUAUGAACGGCGCUGCCACCGCAGUGACCACGCCCAAACAGGCACCGAAACAGACCCCGAAGGGAGUGCCGCAGAAGGUGGUCACAGAAGAAAAACAGGACCAGCUCCAGCAAGCCCCUUCUAAACAAGCUCCAACAGUACCUGUGCCAGCGGCAGUAGCAAUGCCGGUACCAGUAGCAGCAGCAGAAGCCACAGCAAUACCGGUCACUUCGAAUCCGGGAAUAAAGCUAGCGAGCGAAGAAGCUGCUUGCAAUAAUCAUUCAUCACAAAACAAGACCACGGCAGCCAAGUCGGACGCAGAUGACACGAAAUGCAGCCCAAUUACCGAACCUUCCCUGCAAGGAAGUAAGGAUAUUGCAGAGAAAAUGCCGGCGUCCGAGCCAGCCAGGGCUGCAUCCCCCACCCUCAAACCGCUCAAAGAACAGAUGGACACCUCAGACGACCUCGUUGAAGAGCCGGAGGCUCCGGUCCCCUCACCAGGCGUCGGCACACAAACCGACGAGUCGUCCAUGGCGCCCCUGAUGACGUCAGACACCGUAAUGACGUCACAAGACCAGCAGAUGCAGCACGCGACAGCACCAGCUCCCAGGGUAGAUCCAGUCGAGACUGCAGCCACCUAACUUCUGGGACAUCGCGCCGCG